GUGGGGAAUAUUGGGCAAUGGGCGAAAGCCUGACCCAGCAACGCCGCGUGAGGGAAGAAGGCCUUCGGGUUGUAAACCUCUGUCCUUGGUGACGAAACAAAUGACGGUAGCCAAGGAGGAAGCCCCGGCUAACUACGUGCCAGCAGCCGCGGUAAUACGAAGGGUGCAAGCGUUAAUCGGAAUUACUGGGCGUAAAGCGUGCGCAGGCGGUUUUGUAAGACAGGCGUGAAAUCCCCGGGCUCAACCUGGGAAUGGCGCUUGUGACUGCAAAGCUGGAGUGCGGCAGAGGGGGAUGGAAUUCCGCGUGUAGCAGUGAAAUGCGUAGAUAUGCGGAGGAACACCGAUGGCGAAGGCAAUCCCCUGGGCCUGCACUGACGCUCAUGCACGAAAGCGUGGGGAGCAAACAGGAUUAGAAACCCGUGUAGUCC
rnacentral:rRNA from 1 species